rnacentral:tRNA from 1 species
GCCGCUGUGGCUUAGAGGUAUAGCGACUCCUUGGUAAGGAGUAGGUCGCGUGUUCAAUUCACGCCAGCGGCU